rnacentral:tRNA from 1 species
AGCUUGUUGGCGCAGUGGAAGCGCGUAAGUGUCUCCCGAUGGUGAUUGACGACGAGUUCCGUUCACUGACCAUCGUACAGGCCGGGCUCAUAUCAUUGAAACCCGGAGGUCAUCGGAUCGAGGCCGAUACAAGCUA